CAUGGUUACCUUUAAAGCGGUGGCUGAGGAUCUGCUCGAGGAUGGCAGCGAAGUUAACGAACUCUUCGGAGGAGUCGUCGAUGGGCUCCGCCGUGUAUUUCUCCAGCAGGGUCUUCACCGAGAACCUGGUGGGGACGUGGGUGUCACGGGUGGGGAGGGGAGAGGAGGGGAGGGGAGGGGAGGGACCCCCAAACACCCCGCGUCCAGCACACGUCAGCUUUCAGCAAAAAAUGGUUUUUGCAGACGUUGGCUCUCGAGGCCGGCAGCGGGAAGAGGGCGUCGGGCUGAGCCGCGGGCUGUGGCUCGCUGACCCCAUGUGUCCCCGCGUCCCCGGGGACCCCGCCGGGGCGGCCGCCGCUCCCGCACCGUGCAAGUGGCCAGGAAGGGCGAACAAAGGCCCCCUUCCUCCCCGGCCGUGCGCGGGCGGUGAUGGCUUCCCCUUCCGCCCGGGCUGCUCGUGCUCAGCCGAGAGAGAUGCCGAAGACACAAAAUCCACCCAGCCCGGCAGGACAGCUGGGGACGGGGCAGGUGUCUGCAUGGGGGGGACACACCACCCCGUCUGUGGGUCGCGGCCGCACGUGGGGUGGGUGAGACUGGGGAUCCCCAUGAGGGCAGCCGGAGGGCGCCUCGCCAUGGCAAUGGGGGCUGGAGGUGCCCCAUGGCACGGUGGUGAGGUCUGGAGACAUCCUGGUGGCAGGAUGAGGGGUCUGGAGGUGCCCUGGGCCAUGGCAAGGAGCUCCAGGGGGUCCAAAGGUCAUGACAGUAGAGUCUGGAGGUGCCCCGUGACACAACAAGGAGCCCCGGUGGGUCUCCGUGUCAUGACAGCAGGGUCAGGAGGUGCCCCAUGCGAUGGUGAGGACACCUGGGGGGGGCCCAUGUCAUGACAGCAGGGUCAGGAGGUGCCCUGUGCUAUGGGGAGGAGCUCUGGGGGUCCCCAUGUCACGACAACGGGGUCUGGAGGUGCCCUGUGUGAUGACAAGAAGCCGUGGAGGGUCUCCAUCUCCCAACAGUGGGAUCUAGAGGUGCUCUCUGCCAUGGUGGGGAGCCCCAGGGGUCCCCAUGUCGUGAGAGUGGGGUCUGGAUGUGCCCCAUGCCAUGGCAAGAAGCCCUGGGGUCCCCUAGACCCCUUGGGGUCCCUAGCAUGGUGACCCCAAGCCUCUGUGCCCCCCACAGCCCCCCACCCCCAGCAGCCCCAGAGCCAGGCUCCGGUCACAGCCCCCAAACAGGGGCUGGGGGGGGGGGA
rnacentral:lncRNA from 1 species